CGACUCUGUUCCAGAGGCCGAACUCCCACAUUUCAUCAGGAGAUUACUCACUGACCUGUUGAACCCAAAGGCAGCGAAAGCAAUAAUCCUGGAGGAAAUAUUCCGCAUACCAAGACCAGCGAAGGCCCCAACUGCCGCGUCAGGGGAUGUCAUUCUCCAGUUUCAACUAUUCAGGGACAAGAAAGCGAUUCUGGAGGUCGUUCGAGCUCAACCCACAUACCCCUUUGAAGGAAUGACCCUCUCCUUCUAUACAGAUUUAUCAGGCGGGACGCUGGCAUGGAGGAGAUCAAUGAGCCCACUCACAGCACUCCUGCGCCUCCAUCAAAUCCGGUACCGCUGGGGACCUGGCCGUACUCUCAACAUUGACAAGGAAGGCACCAAGCAUGUAAUACACGACAUGCAAGAGGCCACCGGGUUACUGGACUUACUUGGCCUCCCCACAGAACCAUUGGUUCCGGCGACGCCAUCAGCAGGACAAGCGCGCCAACACGGAAGAUACUCUGCAAAUGCACCAGAGUUUGUUCCGCGGAGACCGCCCGCGGAUUCCUAUGCCAAGGCCACCACCUGAAGUAGGACUUACCUCGUAUGAUCUGCAAAAGAACUGUACAGCGCCAUGCACUCCUCUCGGAGGGUCGCGAGUCCAGGUUCACCAGUGACCCAAAGUGUUUUUUUUUUUUUUUCUCUUGCCUAAUGAGCCCACCAAGCCCGCAAGGGCCAAUCACAUACGCCAUGGGUGUCAAAAAGUCUGCUAAGACACAUACUCAUGGCACGAAGGGAUGCCGGGCCUAUUACUGUCUCUGCGUCUAAAUGCUUAAGUUCAACCCUCACAUACACGCUAUAAUUAACACACACAGCGGAUAUCUUGAUGUUAGAACAUAGCCCUCCCACACUACAUGCUGUUUACGCUUCUGAAUACACAUCUAACUCUAAACUUCAGACAAACACGCUUAGCACUCAGAACACGUCAAAUUCAUAAUUGUAUUUUUACUAUUGUUUAGAACGUGUCUGGUACAGCGUGAAAUGCUUUUAAUAUGUCUUUAUCAAAGUCUGGGAUGAAGCCUACACAGAGUAAUCUGUCCUCGGUGUCAGCAUUAACUCAGAAGCUACCUACUGCAU